ensembl:lncRNA
UGCAAACUGAAAGAAGUGUCACAGCAGCAUACCAUCCACAGACCAAUUUUCUAGAUGAAAAGACCAAUGACAACAUAAAAAGAGCCCUCCGAAAACUGGUGAAUGACCAGCAGAAUAACUGGGAUCUGUAUCUAGAUCCCACCCUGUUUUCACUGCGGUCAAAAGUACACACCACAACAUUUUACUCACCUUUUUUUCUGAUGUAUGGAAGAGAGGCAGUAUUUCCAUCAGAAGUGCCUGCUCAAGUGCCGGUGAGUGUUUGUCAAAUUCUUUCUAUGUUAGAACUAAGAAUUGAAACCAUUUAAGUAAAAAACCCAGUAAUGUCUUUAUGAAUAUGAUAUCAUCUUGUUUUAAUUGCUGAUAUCUACAAAAUUUUAGAUUUUCAACAUCAUUCUGCCAGACGACAAAAGGUACAGUGACUAUGUACAGUCUGAAAGUGAAGCACAACAUGCAGUUAAAGAAACUGCACAAGAAAACAUUGCGAAGUCACAAGACAAGCAAAAGGUUGCAUACGCUGAGCGGGUCCUGAAAAAGUGCAAAAAUGUUGUGUACAAUGUAGGGGAUCAAAUUCUGCUUCUAAAUAUGAGGAAAUGUGGGCGAAAAGGAGGAAGACUUGAACCGGAUUUUUCAGGUCCCUACACAAUUGAUGACAUCAGUGGAAAAUGUGUUAGACUGAAAAACGCUGAGGGAAAUACUUUAAAAAGUCUAUACAGUAUUGACCACAUUAAACCUUAUAGAACAAGCCACCCUGUCCAAGUCUCAACUCCAACUGAACCUGUUGAGAGUAGCCCAUCUUCUGAGAUGCAGCCUUGCAGUCCUCAGCAUCAUCAUGAAGUGCUGCAAAAUAACAGACCCUCUGUCAUACAGUUUGCACCAAAAAUACCUCAGGUAAAAUCAGUCCAAGCACCAGAAGAGCUUGUACCAGUGACCCCCCAGAAACCCAGCACGCAAGAAAAAGUGAAGUGGCUUUGGGCUGCAAAAGACAACGGGCGUGUGGAGGCAGUCGUUGGGCCAUACAAAUUGUAUGACUCUUCUUUUCGCACACUGGAGGACAGUGGGUGGCUUUCUGAUGAGGUCAUUGAUGCAUACCUGCACUGCCUCAUUAGGAAACAAAAGAAACCCGUGUAUCAGUUGUCUUGCGUUGUUGCAACCUCUCUGUUUUCUGGGAAGUUUAAAUGUGUCACCAAGAUGUUGUUUCCGGCUGAGGACAUUUGGUUGUGCCCACUGAACUUCAGUGCACACUGGAUCCUUGUGGUUGUCAAAAUCUCACGAUCUGUACUGCUGUUAGACCCUCUUGGAAAUGAAGGUUGUUAUGAAAGGAAAAUUAUGCGAAACUGGAGGAAUUUUCUGAAGAUGAAAGGAAAGGAAGAGUCCCGAGUGGAUUGGAAAAUGGAGACUCUGCCACACAACAAGCAGAUGGACUCCAGCAGUUGUGGAGUUUUAGUGUUGAAGAUAUUUAAUAAGCAACUGUAUUUAAUUGUAUUUAUUGUAUUUAACUAGAAUUAAGUUAAUCAAUUGCAAUUACUGUAACAUAUUUUACAGUUUGCCGAACACUACCUUAUGAGUGGAGAGGUUACUAGGGUGCUGUCCACUCCAGAAGCCAUUGGGCUGCAACGCACAGAAAUUGCUUGCGAACUGCUAGAACAUCAAAGUAAUGCUGAUGACUACUGUGUGGUUUCUUCCAUGCUGGAAGCCGAUCCUGAGUCCAGUAUGAUUGAAAUGGUGCAGUGUGAGUUUUGUCUCAGAUGGGCACAUUUUGGAUGUGCUCAAUCCGGUUGUUCAGUCUGACGUCACUGGCCGUGUCUGGGCCUAAACUCCGCUGCAGGUCCAUAUAUCAAACGAUCACUGUGGCAUUACUGAGAGUUGAAAAACUGUCUAAAGUCUUUCAUCUUUAAUAAAAUGAUCAGUGUUCUGCUCUACCAGGUGUAACAAUUGAGUUUAACAUCCAGGCAUCCAUGAAAAUGGAAUUUAUGACAUUUAACGGCGUUAGAAGUUACCAGGAAGUUAGCUCGCUAGCUUCUAUCUAAAUACAAUAUAGCAUGUCCUGACUGCGGGGUUUUGGAAAAAAAUUCAAACGUACAGCUCUGCUAUAACUUCGAACAUAAAUGAAGACAGAAAACUAAACAGCAGUGACGUUUGUAGGGUUACUGAAGUUUGGCUAGCUGGUAUAUAAUGAUGUGCUACGUGACCGCUAGCGACACAGCUAUGUUAGCAUAACAUAAACAAGCUAACUUUUUUUCCACUCGAUAAAAGUUAACGUGAGUGUUCUCGGUGGUCAGGAACAAAUGUAAUCGCAUGGCAGGAUGCUGUAAAAGGACUAAACUUCAGCCAGGAGAACAAGUGAGAUAAUCCAUCCACAAUACGAGGUUAGUCAUUCAUAUACUGCUGCAUGGGCUGGGCUGUAGUUACAUCCUAAGGUUUUAAAAACUGAGCUUAAAUAAAUGAUUAGCAGUAAUAAAAGCCGAGGGAGGUCAGCAGUGAUCACUGACUAUUUUAGGAGCUUUUUGAGAUUAAAUAGAAGAAAAUACAAAACAUUAAACAUGUUAACAACACAAAAGCCAUAUUAAACGCAGACUACUUUAGGCCCGGAAGUAGGAUUUGUCACGUCAUCACUGAACAACCGGAUAUGAGAGCAGCCUGGUCAAGUACUUGUGCGACAAAUGUGCAUAAUUUGUUAUGAAUACUGUUUCUUUUCCACUUCUUUCUCCCUGUGUUCUGUAGGAUCUGUAAAUAUCAAAUAUAUAUAUCUGUAAAUAUAUGCUGUCAGUCACAGUAAAGUACAAAGAGCAGCCUGGUCAAGUACUUCUGUAAAAAAAUGUACAUAAUUUGUUAUGAAUACUGUUUCUUUUCCACUUCUUUCUCCCUGUGUUCUGUUGGAUCUGUAAAUGUCAAAUAUAUGUAUCUGUAAAUAUAUUCAGUAAAUAUAU